ACAUGCAAGUCGAACGAAGCUCGAACGAAGAGCGAUGGAAGCUUGCUUCUAUCAAUCUUAGUGGCGGACGGGUGAGUAACGCGUGGGAAACCUGCCAUGUACUGGGGGAUAACAGUUGGAAACGGCUGCUAAUACCGCAUAACACUGUUGGAUCGCAUGAUCUGAUAGCCAAAACUCCGGUGGUACAUGAUGGGCCUGCGUCUGAUUAGCCAGUUGGUCGGGGUAACGGCCCACCAGACCGACGAUCAGUAGCCGCACUGAGAGGAUGAACGGCCACAUUGGGACUGAGACACGGCCCAGACUCCUACGGGAGGCAGCAGUGGGGAAUCUUCCGCAAUGGGCGAAAGCCUGACGGAGCAACGCCGCGUGAGUGAAGAAGGUCUUCGGAUCGUAAAGCUCUGUUGUCGGGGACGAAGGGGCAGAUCAGGAAAUGGGUCUGCUUAGACGGUACCUGACGAGGAA
rnacentral:rRNA from 1 species